rnacentral:lncRNA from 1 species
AGUCAGCUUCGGAGUGUGUUUCUGAUCAGAAAAGGGCGGAUGGAUGAAUUUUUUUUUUUAUGUUUUUGUUUUUGAAAGAUGCAAAUGAUGCAUGAAUUAUUAUUUUUUAUCUUAAUGCAAAGCUCUUUAGUUAAUCGUGUUUAUUUAUUGCAAGAAAUACUUGAUGAUUUACGUUUGCAAUCAAACAUAAGGAAAACACACUAGAGUGAAUCACAAAGCUUUAUUCAUCCUUUGAAGGGAAAUCAAACAUGUUACAAAUACAUGGAAGUUGCAAAGUACAAGUAGUUGAGACUAAC